AUGGGGUGGCAGCACCCCAUUCACCUCAGGGACGCGCUGGGUCCCUCGGGCAGGCUGGGAACAACCAGCAACGUCCCCUCCAUGCCCAAACCCAGCCCGCAUUUGGGAGAGGCCAGCGGCCAGGAGGCCAGGUCCCCGUCCCCGUCCCAGCUCGCUGUGGGACAGCCCCGUGCGAGAGGACAUUUCUGGGCUCCCCCGGUGCCUGGCUGCCGGCUGGCACCACGUCCCUGGGACCCCCGGGGGGAUUUUGCGUGCGACGCCGAGGCCUCUGGCGUCUGCCGUCACCUCUGUGCCGGUGGCUGCGUCAGGGCCUUGCUCAACACCCGCAGCACCGACGGGGCGGCGGGGGACAGGCACGGGGACAGAGGUGACGUCCCCCCGGGCAGCACCGCCGUUGGGGCUGGGGGAGCAGAGCCAGGGACACGGCGCGGCCACCAAGUCCCAGCCAAAGCCACCCCACCAGCAGACAGCCUCCGGCCGCCCGGGCUGCCUUCGGAGGAGCCGCACCAGCAGGGCGAGGGAGGGGAUCCCUGCUCCUGGUGGGACACAUCCUGCGGCCGGCCCCCGCCCAGGGCUCCCCAGGGCAGGACGAACGUGGCCGUGAGUCCAGCCCAGGGCCCCGGAGGAGGUGAAGGGACCGGAGCGGCCUCCAGGCACGGUGAGGCUGAGGGGGAGGCCUCUGCUCAGCCCGGACGAGAGGAGGCUCAGGGGCGCCCGUGGAGGCACCAAAGAGCUGGCGGGGGAGAGGUGGGCGGAUGGAGCCCGGCUCUUCCCAGGGGGACCCAGGGACGGGACGGGAGGGAGCGGGCACAGCUUGAGGGGCAGGAAAUCUUCAGACAGAGGCCGCACAGCACCUCCCCUCCUCUCUGUCUGGCUCCCUGCACCCCCGGGGACUCGGCGGCACCGGGGGCCAGCUGGGGCCAAGGCCACGCGCGGGCAGAGCCAGGGACACGGAGCUGGAGCCAAGCCCGGCCCCGUGGUGCCCAGCCCGGCCAGGGUAGGAGGAAGCAGAGGGGAGGAGAGGAGAGCAGAGCGGGGCCGUGCCCGGCCCCAUAA
rnacentral:lncRNA from 1 species